GCAGACAAAAACUCUUCAGGACACAUGAAUUGUGCUUACUCUGUCUAUGAGCAUUAACCAAACAUCUGGUUCAGACUGGACUUCAAGGAGAGCUAGUGUUUUGGUGACACUCACCUGCAAGAUCUUCCAGAUUUCUCUCAAAAUUCACUUGGGUAUUUCUAUGGAAGUUCCAUGGUUCAUAUAACUGAUGUAGCCAAGAGCUUCACAGACUUCUGAUCACAGAGUCAUCUCUCAGUAGCACAUCUGAGAUUCGUCAGCUCAAUGUUUCUCUUUGGGGAUACCAAAUACCUGAUUUACCCACAGGAAGAAAGAGGAAGAGUCCUCCGCAUCUUGAAAAGGGAAGUGGGGGGAGAAAACAUCCGGGAGAGGACACUUUCCGACAGAUAAAAAAAACUGACAGCAAAGACCACAAUAUGAUUUUAAUGAAGUCAGCAUAUGUGGAUGUCUGUGGGUACUGGUGUGUGACUUCCGUGUCUUUCUUGUAGAUAUAAUGUAAUAGUAUGGGGGUGGGACUGUACUCCUCAACAACCUUCCAGGGAGCAGUUCUCUGGUUGACUGAUAAUUACAGCUACAAGUGUGUUUUUGUUUGGUCUUUAGCUGAGAUAUUUUCCCCUCUGGCCUGUGGAUAUUUGUUGUAAUCUUGACGUUAGAGUUGCUGGUCUUUGUCAUAGCUAUUAUUCAGACCACACUUCUCUGAUGAGAGACAACAAAUAUUUACUAGAGGCAGCUCCACCUCUCUUUUGGUUUAGGGGUAGCUAUGAAAAUAGCCAGUAAAUUUUGUUUCUGCUAAGAAGUAACAACCUCUCUCUUGAUCAGGCUCCUUAUUUAUCACAUUCACUGAAACACCAAAGAUGGUUCUGAUCAAGACAUUUGAUCUCAAAUAACCUAUAAUCUCAUGAAAGUUUGAAUCUAGAACCAAAUUUGCCAACAAUAGCUGUAGAAUGGUGGGGAAGUAGAAUCUGUAGUUAAAACAGCAUUUGCAGGUAUUGCAAGGCAAAGGCAAACCACUGCUUUGCUACUUGCUCAACUUACAUUUACAUGGAAGGGAAGUUAGCUGCACUCUUCUGUGGGAGAACUUGACCAAGUAAAAGACACAGGAAGGUAUAGCAUAAUAUGAAAGACUGUUAGAACUUCUUGGAAUGGUUACAAUGCUUAAAUUUGUUGUGCCAGAGAUUGUGCUGGCACCUUCUGAUUCUGUUCCAUUACUCUGCUAGAGACCUCAAAUCACUUCUUCCUCUUUUUUAUUUGUUUUGGGGUUUGGUUUUUUGUUGGUUUUUUUUUCUUUAAACAGAUGGACAAGCAGUUUAUAAAAAUUAUUUCACGUAAUUAUUGUUUUUUCUUUCAUUUAAAGAGAUAUCUCCUAAAUAUGGAAAACAAAAUCAAACUGGCAAGCAAGGUGAGAAAACAAAGAUAGUGUCUUAUAGUCACAAACAUUUAUACUGAAUCUGUGUUUUUCAAAAUUGUGACAGAUAAUAUAACGUGUACUAAAGAGUCCAGAUCCUCCAUGAAAGCUUUUUGGAGAAAAUCAAGGCAUUUUCACAUUGGUUGAAUUUAUGAUGAAAAGAGAGAAGGUAUAUUGUGAUAAAGAGCAACAAGCCCAAAACUUGUUUAUUUACUGCUAUAAUGUUCAGAUAAUUCUUUCACCUACAGAUGUGUAAUACCUCUGACUUCCCUCUUUUACUCUUUCAGAUAUGUUUAUAGAAUUGCUUGGUUGGAAAAGACCUUUGAGUUCAUUGAGUCCAACUGUACCUUUCCACUACUUAUCCAUACCCCUGAGUGCUUCAUCUACCCAUCUUUUAAGUACCUUCAGGGAUGGUGACUCAACCACCUCCCUGGACAGCCUGUUCCAAUGUCCAAUAACUUUUUCAGUGACUAAAUUUUUCCUAGUAUCUAGUCUGAACCUUCCCUGGUGCAACUUAAGUCUACCUCCUCUCAUUCUAUAACCUAUUAUUUAGGAGAAGAGACCAACACCCAUCCUUUUACAACCUCCUUUCAGGUAGUUGUAGACAGUGAUAAUGUCUCCCCUCAGCCUCCUUUUCUCUAGGCUAAACAACCCCAGUUCCCUCAGCUGCUCCUCAUAAGACUUGUUCUCCAGCC